rnacentral:tRNA from 1 species
GCGCCUGUAGCUCAGCUGGAUAGAGUGCCGGACUACGAAUCCGUAAGUCAGAGGUUCGAAUCCUCUCAGGCGCA